AUUGAACGCUGGCGGCAUGCUUUACACAUGCAAGUCGAGCGGCAGCGCGGGGGCAACCCUGGCGGCGAGCGGCGAACGGGUGAGUAAUGCAUCGGAACGUACCCUGUCGUGGGGGAUAACGAGUCGAAAGAUUCGCUAAUACCGCAUACGACCCGAGGGUGAAAGCGGGGGAUCGCAAGACCUCGCGCGACUGGAGCGGCCGAUGGCGGAUUAGCUAGUUGGUGGGGUAAAGGCCCACCAAGGCGACGAUCCGUAGCUGGUCUGAGAGGAUGAUCAGCCACACUGGAACUGAGACACGGUCCAGACUCCUACGGGAGGCAGCAGUAAGGAAUAUUGCUCAAUGGCCGAAAGGCUGAAGCAGCAACGCCGCGUGGAGGACGAAAUACUUUUGUAUGUAAACUCCUGUAAGAAGGGAAAAUAUGCAGUUUUCUGCAUUGAUUGUACCUUCAGAGUAAGCCCCGGCUAACUACGUGCCAGCAGUCGCG
rnacentral:rRNA from 1 species